UACGUAGGAUGCAAGCGUUGCUCGGAAUUAUUGGGUGUAAAGGGCGCGUAGGCGGCCUGAUAAGUCAUUGGUGAAAGCCCUCGGCUCAACCGAGGAAUUGCCAGUGAUACUGUCGGGCUAGAGUACGGGAGAGGGAAGCGGAAUUCCUGGUGUAGCGGUGAAAUGCGUAGAUAUCAGGAGGAACACCGGCGGCGAAGGCGGCUUCCUGGACCGACACUGACGCUGAGGCGCGAAAGCGUGGGUAGCAAACAGGAUUAGAUACCCUGGUAGUCCACGCCCUAAACGAUGGGUACUAGGUGUGAGGAGUUUUUAACUCUUCGUGCCGCAGCUAACGCAAUAAGUACCCCACCUGGGAAGUACGGCCGCAAGGUUGAAACUCAAAUGAAUUGACGGGGGCCCGCACAAGCGGUGGAGCAUGUGGUUUAAUUCGACGCUACGCGAAGAACCUUACCUAGGCUUGACAUCCGGAGAAUCCCCUGGAAACAGGGGAGUGCCCGCAAGGGAGCUCCGAGACAGGUGCUGCAUGGCUGUCGUCAGCUCGUGCCGUGAGGUGUUGGGUUAAGUCCCGCAACGAGCGCAACCCUUACUCUUAGUUGCCAGCGGGUUAUGCCGGGCACUCUAAUGGAACUGCCGGCGUUAAGCCGGAGGAAGGUGGGGACGACGUCAAGUCAUCAUGGCCUUUAUGCUUAGGGCUACACACGUGCUACAAUGGACGGUACAAAGGGUUGCAAGACCGCGAGGUGGAGCUAAUCCCAGAAAGCCGUCCCCAGUUGGGAUUGCAGUCUGCAACUCGACUGCAUGAACUUGGAAUCGCUAGUAAUCGCGGAUCAGAACGCCGCGGUGAAUACGUUCCCGGGCCU
rnacentral:rRNA from 1 species